UUUUCUAGGCGCGAAUGUCCAUAGCAGUCCCACUUAAAUUAAAGCAAAACAAUCCUGCAAACAACCCAAAUGCCCAACGGGUGAAACGAUUAAACACAUUUUGGAACACAAUGGAAUAUCAAGCAACCAAAAGGUACGAACUAUUAAUAACGGUCACAACCACGGAUGAAUUUCAAAACAAGCUGAGUGAAAGAAGCCAGAGUAUAUAUGCACGGUGUGAUUCCAUUCAAAAAAUAAAAAUAAAAACCAAUCAACAGUGACAGGUGAUCAGCGUUCGUCUAGGGUGCCGCAGAUUUUGUACUCGACCGGAAAGGUGCUCUCAAUGACUAGUUCCGGCUCGCUUCGGGAUCGGCGCGUCCUGAUCGCCACGUCUGCCCUCUAAACCCUCUUGGUUUUCCCCCAGGCUUCCAUUUCACGGGUAGCGUACGGUAACGCUCCGGACUCCUCCGGUAGCGUUUUCUCUGCCUUACGGACUUGGGACUUCCUCUAAGAUGGCCGCGCCCGCGCUGUUCCUAACGGUGCAAACACCAUAUGCCACCGCGUCGCCAAAGUUGUGUUUUUUUCCGAGCCUGCUCAAGUUUUUUAUCCAGCCGCUAAACCUUUUCGCAUUUAGCAUAGUGAUUCGGGUGCCCAGACGUUAUUUCAGUUUCUUCCCGUCGAGCUGAGGCGUCCCAGCCGUAACGGCCGCUGGCAAAAAUGCGCACCCCAUCAUUUGGGUCGUGAAGUUUGUGCUGUCCACUCUUCCGCGUAUGAGGAGGCGGUGACUGACAUUCGUGUGCCCAAUCGCUCAAAGCAAUUUACCCUAAGUCAUGUUUGCCUGUGUGUCCUCGAGCCCCCCUUCCACCGUCGCGCCCCUCUGGGUACCUGCUCAAAAGCUGCCACUUUACAUUCUGUACGUCAGGCACCCUAUGGCCGCCCCGAGGAAGCCAGGACGGCGACGGCGCGCGCUUAUUACCUCAUAAGGGAAAGCCGGAAACCCAGUGAUGCCCUCUCCAUAGAAACGCUGUGGAACCUUCUCGGACGACUGUCGCCAGUGGGAAAGCUGGGUCAGGGACCAGAAGUGCAAGAAGUUCUGGGAAUCCUUAGGACCUGGCUCCAAGGAGCAAGAGACAAGAAGUGAAUGAAGGAAGAGGAGGUUCGGCGACCUAGAUACCAUCAUUUCUGGGCAUACUUUUGACUGGAGACCAAGAUUUCUUACUAGAAAUUUCGGGUAUAUCCAGAAGAGACAAAGACAAAAUAUCCCAGGUGCUGGCCUUUUCCCAAAAAAAGAAGAAAAUGAUCAAGGUCCAGGUGACUUUUGAUUUGUUUUAUUAUUUCCUUAUUCGCUAAUGGAUGUGUGGAGACUUCUGAAAAAUCAGUUCAGGAUCCGGAAAGAAAGAAACUUUGACUCCAACUUCAGCAUCAGGGCAAAGUAGGUCAGGUAGAUAUUUUUUGUAGGAUUCCUACUAAAUCACUAGUGUUGGCACAUAAUGUAUGCCUGGAGAAUGCUGUGGGUUCCGUUAGCUGUCAGUUUAUAUCUAAUAUUUCUGACAGCCAACACAACAAGAGAAUCAUCAAGAGUUCUGUGAUACACAGUGACCGUGAGGAGAAAACUGACAAGUGUCUCAAAGGAUGUCAGUAUUUCUGGCACUUAAGUCUGAGGAAAAAUUUGAUAAUUCUUCCUGUAUGUCAUGGGUGGAUGGCAUUUAGAACAGCAGUCUUCUAAUAAGACAAAAGCAAAUGUCCUGUGGCUUUUUAUUACAGGAUUCCAGAGAAACCCUGGGUAGAAUAGCCGCUAGUCAAGCAAGCUCAGUUGACAUGGUUUUCCAGGGAGCCAACCAAGGUCACUGAAGGGCCCAGCCUUGUGGCUAUCUGGGUUUAUCCAAGAAUAAAACCUAAAUAUCCUAAGAAAAUGGAACGAUUGUAUGUCCCUCAAAUGGUCCUCUACAAAGAGGUGGCAUUGGGGAGAUGCAAGAAAUGUCUGGUGGGACUUGAGUUGGUGGGCUCCACGGUGUUUCCUUUUUAACUUCACCUUAUCUUAAGAAAUGCAGAAUCUUUCCUAUUUUCAAAUCCAGUUUUUACCGGCUUUUCUUUUAUUGUCUUUAUUUAUUGUAAUUAUACAAAUGACUUGUGGGUACAUUUUAAAGGUUCAAAUAUAAACUCCAAAUAUAAAGUACACAUGGCAAAAAAAUUAAUUCCCUCUUCCUAACUUCCUUCCUCAUCCCCUCAUGCUGCCUUAACAAAUGGUUAGUAAUGUAUAGUUGCUGUCACUGAACCUGUGUGUGCAUCAGUGUGUAUAUAUAUGUGUGUGUACAAAACACAUCUGUUAUGGCGUUUUUUGCAUGAAUGGAUUCAUAUUUCAAAAAUAUAGCAGCCACCCCUUUGGCUUAAGAUUGUAUGGUUUAAUGAUGAUCGCAAUUCAUUGAAGAAUAGUAACCAUAUAUAAUUCCAUUUGUUUAGUCAUACCCAAAAGAAAUGAAUUGAUCUAUGAAUAGUAUUUAGAUGAGUGAUAUAAGAUCAUCCAUGCCUUAAGUCUUUGCCAGCACUUAAUAAAACUUUAUCAAAUUGCAUAAUUUUCAACAUUCUGAAUGGAUCACUAAUCUUUUGUCUUGUUUUAUUUUGCAUUUUUCUAAUCAGAGGUGAUGUUGAAAUAUUUCUUGUGUCUUUUUUGGUCAGUUGGAUUUCUUAUAAAAUGUCUGACCUUAUCAUUUUUGCAUC
ensembl:lincRNA